rnacentral:rRNA from 1 species
UACAGAGGUCUCAAGCGUUGUUCGGAUUCAUUGGGCGUAAAGGGUGCGUAGGUGGCGCCAUAAGUCAGGUGUGAAAUCUCGGGGCUUAACCCCGAAACUGCACUUGAUACUGUGGUGCUCGAGUACUGGAGAGGAGAUUGGAAUUUACGGUGUAGCAGUGAAAUGCGUAGAUAUCGUAAGGAAGACCAGUGGCGAAGGCGAAUCUCUGGACAGUUACUGACACUGAGGCACGAAGGCCAGGGGAGCAAACCGGG